rnacentral:tRNA from 1 species
CAUCUUUGAGAAACCAUACUAAUACUAUAAGUAUUAUAAGGACCCACACUUCCCUCAAAACAC